AUCAGUUCCGCGAAUCUGUGAAAUCGCGAAAAACUAAACGCGAUUAAACAAUAUCGAAAUUAAAAAUGUGCAAUAUAUUUCAUUAUGAAGCUAUUAACACGCACUGUAUCACAUGCAGAUGCUUGCGCAGACAGCUCAAAGUUCUGUUGUAAUUGUCGUCUUUUACCUUGUCGGGUUUCAGAUCGAAAUUGUCCUUGCUGUCUUUGCCAAUGUGUUCCAGCAUGUGUCUGGAAAGCCGCUCAAAAGAUAAUACUCCUGGCGAGAUCGAAACCAGCCACUUUUUUAUCCGGGCUGGGUUCGAAGCGGAUUCGAAGAUGAAUGACGAAGUAUUAGAAUGUAGAUUGAAUGGACGCGAUAUCGCUUAUGUUCACCUUUCUUAUCAUAUUUCAAUUUGUAAUUAUCAAUCGCGAGUAUGAUACUCUUACCCAACAAUCGCGAACAUCCCGCACGCGUGCCGAAUCAGAGCGAUGUAGCAAGAAUCAACUGCGAUCGUGAUGCUGAUAUGGGAGAAUACGGCUAAAUAACAGUGUACCGCCAUCGGAUACAAAUAUUGAUUUAACAUUUCUCCAUAUUCCACGCGAAGAGGUAGUUUCGCUUCCGCCACUAGAGAAGAUAUCGUCGCAUCCGAAGUAUCCUCCAGCAGAAUCGUUACGAUCGACUUUGAGAUGAGAAGAAUUCCUACAAACUGCAUGAAGACUGAAAACACGAGAUACGCAUUAGAUCGCUUUGGCUUGGUUUUCAAAAAAAGAACGUGAUAUCUUCUAAAGCAGUUUCCAUGACAUACUUCCAUAUGUUAGCGUGAUAUAUCGUCCGUAUGCAGUGUGACGUUGUAGAAUGUUUCUUUCUAUAUCCGUAUUCAACGAUAACCAAUCGUCCUCCAUUGUUUUUAGACAGGUCUUCAACUAUAAAUACAAGAUGUAUGUUGGAGGAUAAAAAGAAAAGACAAGCGAUACAAUUAGUGACCACCUACUUGUGGUAUAAGAAUGGUGAUGGAAAACGUAAACAUCGGCACAAAAAGAAAACACCUGUCGCGAAACCUGUGAUAAGGCCAUAUUCCUACUAAACUCAUGUACGCUCUAGGAACUGUAUAAAAGCGGCUUUGCCAAAUGUUCUUUCGUUCAUCCAUUUUCAGAAACACUAAGACUACGAAUUAUCGACGAUUUCUUGUGAAUACACACGUCACAGUCGUCACUCGAACCUUUAGAGAAACAUUAAUUAUAUCUUAAGACUAAAGAUGCAAGAGAAACUAUCAAAUAAUAAAGUUAUAUUUACCACGCCGAAACU